rnacentral:lncRNA from 12 species
CUAUGGAAUCCCAAUAGCGUCUUUUAUGAUGUCGUAAUUACUAAAGUCAUUGUAUGUUUGUAUGAACGAUUAAAACCAUUAAGUAGAGACAAAGGAAAACCUCCAUUCAAGGGCUAGCUACAAAUGUUACCAUUUUCCUCCAUUCAGGAAGGGAGCUUUAUUAUCAUAUUAAACAACAUGCAAAAGAAAUUAAAGAUAGAAUAAAAUUGCACACAGCAUCUCGACUGGGAGUGAAGGGGAGCUGAGGAACCAAAGGAUGUUACCAAAAGGAGCUGCAAUCAGCAGCAAACUCCUAGAGAUGUACCACUAAGCACAAAUGAAACCGGAGAGCCAACUUGUCAGCAGCACGAAUAGGGGAGAGUCUGAAUUUCAGCGAGAACGUGAACUUGGUGGACCUUUUCUCCUCACUCUCCAUAAUCAGUUCAUGGAAAGUAAACUACAGCCGUCCUCUUCUACCGUCACCCCAAAUCCACCUACAAGAGCCACCCGUCCACCGGGGUCGGCCACACCGUCACAGAUGCUGGCAAUGACAGCCUGGGGGACACAACCCAUCCUGGACACCGGCUGCCAUCUGGUUCAGCUCCACCUGGCCAUCCCUGGCCUCGCUGUCUCCUUGGAAACCAGCAGCCUCUGGCCUGGACCCUCAGAGGGAAUCAUGCCAACUGACCUCAACCAGGUACCCUCGAAAGCAGACCCCGCAAGUCAAAUUUUAAUAUAUAUGUUAAUGAGGCAUAAACUCAUUAGUAACUCGUUUUAAUACUGCCACCGAUUGAAAUAUUAACUCGAAGAGAGGAUGUGAUGAAUUCCUGAAUGGUUAAUCAAUGUAUUUCCUAUCAUUCGAUAGAUUCAGCGUGAGGACCUUCUGCUCAUUACAUGAUGAGUCUCAUGACUAGUCAGCGACAAAUUUAGAAUCACAAAUACACACUUCCAAGAAACAUUCCUAAUAACCACUAAUAUGACCUUAUUUCUUUUUUUUUUAUGACCUUAUUUCUUACACUAAUCAUUAACAACUCUCUAACCUAGAAUUUCAUGUCUAUGUUGAGGAAGGAAAGAAAGAACAUCAUUUUGAGAAACCCAUUUAGAGAAAUGUAGAGAACACAUAAAAUAAUAAAGUAUUAAAAAAUAAAUCA